rnacentral:tRNA from 1 species
UGUAGCUCAGUGGUAGAGUACUUGCCUAGCAGGCAUGGAGCCCUGGGUUCAAUUCCCAGCA